AUCUUUGCGCAGUGACCAUAUCGUAAUCAAUAAGGUUCUACCGAGGUGCGAUUAUUGCUCCUUAAUUUAAUAGUAAAUAUAGGAAAUAUAAUAGUAAAUUUGAUUAGAAUUUUAUUGACCCGAACAUUUUUG
rnacentral:snRNA from 1 species